rnacentral:rRNA from 1 species
AAAGUUGAAAAGUACUUUGAAGAGAGAGUAAACAGUGCGUGAAACCGCUCAGAGGUAAACGGGUGGAGUUGAACUGCGAACCCCGGGAAUUCAACUGGUGAGUGUGGUAUGAGCUUGGCAUGAAGGUUGGCUCUGCGGGUCUGCUUAGCUGCAGGUCUUCGCCUUUUGGUGGAGAUGCGCGAUACACUUGUCAAGUGGUGCGCGCUCGUUGAGUUACUCGGACAUGCUUGCCAGUGCACUUUCUCGGGGUGUUCACCACGACCGGCGCUGCUACUUGUCUGAUAUGGUUAAACCGUUCUUGCUUGGUCCUUGUGGCUUUGCUUGAUCGGGAUGGCAGGUAACUCGGUAAUUAGUGUGUUGGCCUCGGCCGACAUGCGCUUUGUUUCCGAGUGUAAUCAGCUGACUGUAUUGGUGCUAUGUAGUGCGUCGGAGACGGCGGCUUGUGGUGUGUGCCUGCGUGCCUAUUUGCUGACGGAACCGGGUUUGGUUAUUAUGUUGCCUGUUUUUCAGGCCUGGUGAUGGCCCGGUUACGCUUGGUGGAUGGGGGCGUGUGUGACACUUAUCAGGGCCUAUAGUCUGUGGUGUUGUGGUAGACUAUCCACCUGACCCGUCUU